GCAUGCCAAAAUGCCCUGGCACCGCAGCCCCUGCCUUACCACACUGCUCUUCAGAGGGAGGGGUGCGCAGGCAGUGCCACGGGAGCCGGGUAGGAUGGAGGAGGGGACCUAUCUAAAUGGAGGGAAGGGGCAGGUGAAUGGAUCAGCUCAGUUAGACCCAAGAGAGCCUCCUGCUUGUCCUAGACCUCAUUUUCCCAACCCAGUGGCAUUCCAGCCACACCUGCUAAGGCCUUGGGUACCUGCACACCAGAGUAGCAGCUCCUCCAGCCGGCAGAGAAAGACUUCAUUUGCCACAGUCAGCAGCAGCCCACUCGGGAAGCAACCCAGGGUCCGCUUGCCACCCAGCCAUGCCAGCUGAUCCCCUAACCAGGGGGCAUCACUUUUCUAGAACUUUCUGGGUCAUGAACCCUCAGGGAGGCAGCUAAUGCAACCCUUUCCCAAAGGGCCCUCUCCUAGUACCUGCAAAUUAUAAGGACACUAUUUGACUUGAUAUUAUUUCCAGAGGAAAAUAAAAGUAAGUUAAUAAAGGCA